rnacentral:rRNA from 1 species
CGCCCUUCUGGAGUUUGGCAGAGGGGGGUGGAAUUCCACGUGUAGCAGUGAAAUGCGUAGAGAUGUGGAGGAACACCAAUGGCGAAGGCAGCCCCCUGGGUCGAUACUGACGCUCAUGCACGAAAGCGUGGGUAGCAAACAGGAUUAGAUACCCUGGUAGUCCACGCCCUAAACGAUGUCAACUAGGUGUUGGGAGGGUAAAACCUUUUAGUGCCGUAGCUAAC